rnacentral:rRNA from 1 species
AAGUAAGUUAAUAAGGGCAUAUGGUGGAUGCCUUGGCGAUAAAAGGCGAAGAAGGACGUGGUUGGCUGCGAUAAGCUUCGGUGAGCCGUCAAACAGGCUUUGAUCCGGAGAUUUCCGAAUGGGGAAACCCAUUAUCCUUAAUCGGAUGAUAUUGCUGUCUGAAUACAUAGGGCAGCAAGGAUAACCAGGUGAACUGAAACAUCUAAGUAACCUGAGGAAGAGAAAUCAAUUUAGAGAUUACCUUAGUAGCGGCGAGCGAACGGGUAACAGCCCAAACCUAUUGGAUGUUAAAGCCCACAAGCGUUGUUCAAUAGAGGUUGUAGGAAUUAUGGUGUGUAUUUGUGGAUGCACAUGAGAGUUAAAAAACUAUUUAAUAGUAGAAUAGCUUGGAAAAGCUGGCCAUAGAUGGUAAAAGCCCGGUAUACGAAAUUAAAUAGCCUCUCACAUAAUUUCCUGAGUACAACGGAACACGUGAAAUUCCGUUGGAAUCUGCGAGGACCAACUCGUAAGGCUAAAUACUUUUAUCGACCGAUAGUGAACUAGUACCGUGAGGGAAAGGUGAAAAGUACCCCGGGAGGGGAGUGAAAUAGAACCUGAAACCAUAUGCUUACAAGUAGUAGGAGGCACAUUAGGUGCUGACUGCGUGCUUUUUGUAGAACGAACCUGCGAGUUACAGUAUGCAGCAAGGUUAAGUUUAGUUAAACGGAGCCGAAGCGAAAGCGAGUCUUAAUUAGGGCGCCAGAGUUGUAUGCUGUAGACCCGAAGCUGAGUGAUCUAUCCAUGGCCAGGGUGAAGCGAAGGUAAAACUUUGUGGAGGCCCGAACCCACUAAGGCUGAAAACUUAGGGGAUGAGCUGUGGAUAGGGGUGAAAGACCAAUCAAACUCAGAGAUAGCUGGUUCUCCUCGAAAUAGCUUUAGGGCUAGCCUUAAGUGUUUGAUUCUGGUGGUAGAGCACUGAAUGGACUAGGGACCUUACAAGGUUACCAAAUCCAAUUAAACUCCGAAUGCCAGGAUUUUAUAGCUUAGGAGUCAGACUGUGAAGGAUAAGCUCCAUAGUCAAAAGGGAAACAGCCCAGACCAUCGGCUAAGGUCCCAAAAUAUAUGCUAAGUGGGAAAGGAUGUAAAGUUACCCAGACAACCAGGAUGUUUGCUUAGAAGCAGCAAUCAUUUAAAGAGUGCGUAACAGCUCACUGGUCAAGUGAUUAUGCGCCGAAAAUUCAACGGGGCUCAAGCAUAUUACCGAAGCCAUGGAUUCUGAUUUAUCAGAAUGGUAGAGGAGCGUUCUGUAAAGGUUGAAGCUUAAUCGUAAGAUUAGGUGGACUUUACAGAAGUGAGAAUGCAGGUAUAAGUAACGAAAGACAGGCGAGAAACCUGUCCGCCGAAUACCAAAGGUUUCCUGGGGAAGGUUAAUCCUCCCAGGGUUAGUCGAGACCUAAGCCGAGGCCGAAAGGCGUAGGCGAUGGAUAACAGGUUAAUAUUCCUGUACGACCAAAUUAUGUUUGAUCAAUGGGGUGACGUAGAAAGGUAGACCAUCGUGGUUUGGUUGACUACGUGUAAGCGUGUAGGGUGCUAAUCAGGAAAAUCCGGUUAGCAUUAAGCCUGAGGCGUGAUACCGAUCCAAUUAUGGCGAAGUGGUUGACCCUAUGCUACCAAGAAAAACCUCUAGGUAGUAAUUUGGUUCUCGUACCAAAACCGACACAGGUAGGUAGGUAGAGAAUACUAAGGCGAUCGAGAUAACCCUUGUUAAGGAACUCGGCAAAAUAACCCCGUAACUUUGGGAUAAGGGGUACCCCAGUAGCGUGAAGAAACUAGCUUUUGGAGCGCGAAAAGGUUGCAAUAGAAAGGCUCAAGCGACUGUUUACUAAAAACACAGGUCUCUGCUAAGUCGUAAGACGAUGUAUAGGGGCUGACGCCUGCCCGGUGCUGGAAGGUUACGAGGAGGAGUUAGGACUUCGGUCCGAGGCUCUGAAUCUAAGCCCCAGUAAACGGCGGCCGUAACUAUAACGGUCCUAAGGUAGCGAAAUUCCUUGUCGGGUAAGUUCCGACCUGCACGAAUGGCGUAACGAUUUGAGCACUGUCUCAACAAGGGACUCGGUGAAAUUAUAUUAUUGGUAAAGAUGCCAAUUACCCACAGAAGGACGGAAAGACCCCGUGAACCUUUACUGUAGCCUGAUACUGGAUUUUGGUCUAUCAUAUGCAGGAUAGGUAGGAGGCUUUGAAGCCAGGGCGCUAGCUCUGGUGGAGCCAACGGUGAGAUACUACCUUUGGUAUUCUAGAAUUCUAACUACGUGCCGUUAUCCGGACGUAGGACAGUGGCAGGUGGGCAGUUUGACUGGGGCGGUCGCCUCCUAAAAAGUAACGGAGGCGUCCAAAGGUUCCCUCAGAGUGUUUGGCAAUCACUCGUAGAGUAUAAGAGCAUAAGGGAGCUUAACUGUGAGAUCGACAGAUCGAGCAGAAACGAAAGUUGGGUCUAGUGAUCCGGCGGCUCAUUGUGGAAUGGCCGUCGCUCAACGGAUAAAAGGUACUCCGGGGAUAACAGGCUUAUCUCCCCCAAGAGUCCAUAUCGACGGGGAGGUUUGGCACCUCGAUGUCGGCUCAUCGCAUCCUGGGGCUGGAGAAGGUCCCAAGGGUUUGGCUGUUCGCCAAUUAAAGCGGUACGCGAGCUGGGUUUAGAACGUCGUGAGACAGUUCGGUCCCUAUCCUCUGUGGGCGUAGGAGAAUUGAGGGAAUUUAUCCCUAGUACGAGAGGACCGGGAUGAGUAAACCUCUGGUGUGUCAGUUGUCCUGCCAAGGGCACUGCUGAUUAGCCAAGUUUAUAAGGGAUAAGUGCUGAAAGCAUAUAAGUACGAAGCCCAUCCCAAGAAUAGUUCUCCCAUCCCUUGUGGAUUAAGACCCCAUGUAGAUUACAUGGUUGAUAGGUUAGAUGUGUAAGCACAGCAAUGUGUUUAGCUGACUAAUACUAAUUGGUCGAAGACUUAAUUAU